GCCUCAUUAGCGCAGAAGGUAGUGUGUCAGUCUCAUAAUCUGAAGGGGGUGAGUUCGAUACUCACAUGGGGCA
rnacentral:tRNA from 1 species